rnacentral:lncRNA from 1 species
CAUAUUAUUCUAAUAAUAUGAAUAUGACUAUUUUUAUUGUUUCAACUAGAGAUUGUGGUCAGGAGACAUUUACUCAGAUAACUGACACGGUUUAAACUCUGUGAUAAUCAAUAUAUUGUACAUGACAAAAUAAUAUUUAACAAAUUUAUAAAGAUGCAUGUUUCACCAUAAAUCAAGUACAGUAGCUGCCCACCCCUUGUCUGUGGUUUCAGUUUCUGCAGUUUUAGUUACUUACCCACAGUAAACUGUGAUCCAAAUAUACUAAGUGCUAAAUUCCAAAAAUAAAUAAUUAGUAAGUUUUAAAUUGCCAUUCUGAGUAGUGUGAUGAAAUCUCAGGCUGCCCUGCUCCAUUCUGCCCAGGAUGUCAAUCAUCCCUUUGUCCAGUGUAUCUAGCUGUAUACACUACCUACUUAUUAGUCACUGACGUUGACAUCGACACUGCUCCUAAUACCCAACCAUCGAUAUUGUCAUGGCUUGAUGAUCCAGGAUUACCCGAAACAGAUGACCCUCAAUCUGACAAUCAUCAGAAAGUCAAUAGUAGCCUACUGCUACGGUGCAAUGCCUAUGUCAUUCACCUCACUUCACCCAUCACAAUGCUUAUGUCAUUCACCUCACUUCAUCUCAUCACAAUGCCUGUGUCAGUCAUUCACCUCAUUUCAUCUCAUCUCAUUGCAUUUUAUCAUCUCACAUUAUAACAAGAAUUCUCAGUCCGUUUUUAAGGCAUACUGUUCUGAAGAGAACAUUUAA